GCAUUUUCAAAAAGCGGAGGAAAAGAAACCAACAGGGAUUGCCCUAGUAACGGCGAGUGAAGCGGCAACAGCUCAAAUUUGAAAUCUGGCUUCGGCCCGAGUUGUAAUUUGCAGAGGAUGCUUCUGGCGCGGUGCCUUCCGAGUUCCCUGGAACGGGACGCCACAGAGGGUGAGAGCCCCGUAUGGUCGGAUACCAAGCCAGUGUGAAGCUCCUUCGACGAGUCGAGUAGUUUGGGAAUGCUGCUCAAAGCGGGAGGUAUACGUCUUCUAAAGCUAAAUACCGGCCAGAGACCGAUAGCGCACAAGUAGAGUGAUCGAAAGAUGAAAAGCACCUUGAAAAGGGGGUUAAACAGUACGUGAAAUUGUUGAAAGGGAAGCGCCUGUGACCAGACUUGCGCCGGGCGGAUCAACCAGCGUUCUCGCUGGUGCACUCCGCCCGGCUCAGGCCAGCAUCGGUUCUGGCAGGGGGAUAAAGGCGGCGGGAACGUGGCUCCUCCGGGAGUGUUAUAGCCCGCCGUGCAAUGCCCCUGCCGGGACCGAGGUUCGCGCAUCUGCAAGGAUGCUGGCGUAAUGGUCACCAGCGACCCGUCUUGAACCACGGACCCAA
rnacentral:rRNA from 1 species